rnacentral:rRNA from 1 species
GAUGAACGCUGGCGGCGUGCCUAAUACAUGCGAGUCGAGCGAACGGACGAGAAGCUUGCUUCUCUGAUGUUAGCGGCGGACGGGUGAGUAACACGUGGAUAACCUACCUAUAAGACUGGGAUAACUUCGGGAAACCGGAGCUAAUACCGGAUAAUAUUUUGAACCGCAUGGUUCAAAAGUGAAAGACGGUCUUGCUGUCACUUAUAGAUGGAUCCGCGCUGCAUUAGCUAGUUGGUAAGGUAACGGCUUACCAAGGCAACGAUGCAUAGCCGACCUGAGAGGGUGAUCGGCCACACUGGAACUGAGACACGGUCCAGACUCCUACGGGAGGCAGCAGUAGGGAAUCUUCCGCAAUGGGCGAAAGCCUGACGGAGCAACGCCGCGUGAGUGAUGAAGGUCUUCGGAUCGUAAAACUCUGUUAUUAGGGAAGAACAUAUGUGUAAGUAACUGUGCGCAUCUUGACGGUACCUAAUCAGAAAGCCACGGCUAACUACGUG